rnacentral:rRNA from 1 species
UGCGCAAUGGGCGAAAGCUGACGCAGCAACACCGCGUGGGGGAAGAAGGCCUUUGGGUUGUAAACCCCUUUUCUCGGGGAAGAAUGAUGACGGUACCCGAGGAAUAAGUCUCGGCUAACUACGUGCCAGCAGCCGCGGUAACACGUAGGAGGCGAGCGUUAUCCGGAUUUAUUGGGCGUAAAGGGCGUGUAGGCGGCCCGGAAAGUCCCCUGUGAAAUCUCCGCACUCAAUGCGGAGGGKACAGAGGAAACUUCCGGGCUUGAGGGCAGCAGAGGAAGGUGGAAUUCCCGGUGUAGCGGUGAAAUGUGUAGAUAUCGGGAGGAACACCAGUGGCGAAGGCGACCUUCUGGGCUGUUUCUGACGCUGAGGCGCGAAAGCGUGGGGAGCAAACAGGAUUAGAUACCCUGGUAGUCCACGUCGCAACCGAUGGACACUAGGCAUGGGGG